GCGCUCCUGCGGCGGGGUAAGCGCUCCCGACCCGCGCCCGCCCCAGCCCAGACCUGGCGGGGCCAGGACGCUGGUUCAUACACUCCAAGGGGUAACUGUCAGAUUCUGAAAAGAAUUAAAGAGUUGCUGGAUCCAAGAGGAAAUGUGUUUGCAAAUAUGAUAGAUAUUUACAAUUGCCCUUCAUGGAGUGAUCCGUUCUACACUCCUAUCGGCAGAGAAGAGCAUGAGAGUACUGUGGUAAACAGCAAUGAAGUUUUUGAUGUGCCAAAUUCUGAUUUAGUGCCUUGGGAGAAUUUCUAAGCCAUAGUACAAGGAGAGAGGAACAUAUCAGCCUGGUGGAAUCCCUCUGUUGAUAGAGUCCAGAGCCUGGUGAGACCAAUGCAGCCAGAGUUUGCUAGAAGGGAGAAAGCUGCAUAGAGAGAGAAUUCUCAUGGUCUGGAAUGAAUCUCUCCUGAUUCUUCAGGCCUUCAUAUUCACUCACCACUCACUGACUUACCCGGAACAACUUCUAGUCCUGCAAGCUCCAUUCAUGGUAAGUGCCCUUUACGGGUAUACCAUUUUAUCUUUCAUACUGUAUUUUUACUAUACCUUUUGUAUGUUUAGAUACAAAAAUACCAUGUGUGACAAAUUCAGUAUGGUAACUGAAUGCUGUACAGGUUUGUAGCCUAGAAGCUAUAGGCAGUGCCAUAUAGCCUAGGUGUGUAGUAGGCUGUGCCAUCCAGGUUUGUGUAAGGACUCUAUCAUGGUUACAUAAUGAUGAAAUUACCUAAAGGUGCAUUCCUCAGAACAUAUCUCUGUCAUUAAGCAACACAUGACUAUAAUUGUGUUGUGUUCAGAGACAGCUGGGAAUAUUGGCUGUUUCCACAAGACAGACUGGAAAGCCUCAUUCAUGGAGCAUUGGGUAGAGUACAUACAAUGGGUCUUGCCUCAGUUGUGGGAAACAGCCCUAGCCUGAACACUGUCCCUGUUCUGCCUAACAAGCGUUUAAAGCAAGGCCUGAAGCAAGGCCUGAAAGCAUCAAACUAUUUCUAAGGAGCUUAACUGAAUUCUAGAACAAACCUCAAGAUUUAUAGGGAUACAAAAACAUCCAGCACCUAGAAAGGUAAAAUCCACAGUGUCAUCUCCAAACUAGCAAGGAUGCAAAUAAGCAGUAAAAUAGGACCCAUAAUGAGACAAAAAGUGACAUGUUAGAAUUCAGACAGUAUUCCAUAUGUUCAAAAAGUUAGGUAGGGGCCUGGAAGAUAGAUGCCAAUCCAACUUCUAGAGAUGAAAACUGCAAUGUGUGAAAUGUAAAACAUAUUGUGUGGGAUUAAUGGCAGAUUGCACAUUGUGGAAGAAAGGAUUCAUGAGUUUGAAGAAGACAUAGCAAUAGAAACAAAUCAAAGUCACACCAAAAAAAUAGUCUAUCAGUGAGCUGUACACAAGUUUAAGCACCCUAGUGUGUAAUGGGAGUAGGGGAAGGGAGCAUACAAAGUAUUUGAAGAAAUGAUAGCUUAAAAGUUUGAUAGAAACCAUAAACCCACAGAUUCAAGAAGAUAUGAACUCCAAGCACAAGAAGCAUAAAAAACCCAUACUACCCAGGCGUGGUGGCUCAUGCUUGUAAUUCCAACACUUUGAGAGGCUGAGGCAGGAGGCUUGCUUUGAGGCUGGGUGUUUGAGACUAGCCUGGGCAACGUGGAGAGACCCUGUCUCUUACACAAAAACCCAAACCAGAGUACACCAUAAUCAAAUUGUUUAAUACCAAUGAUAAAGAUAAAAUCUUAAAUGGACUAGCGGCAAAAAGGUACUGUUUUCAAGUGACUUGGAAAUAGUUACAAAGGUGAGAAGUUAGAUUUCUUAAAGGGAACAAUUUGAGAAGCCAGUAGAGCAACAUAUUUCAAGUACAGAACAGAGAAAAACCCUGUCAACCAAAAAUUAUGUGCCCAGGCCAGGUGCGGUGACUCACGCCUGUAAUCCCAGCACUUUGGAAGGCUGAGGCUGGCAAAUCACUUGAGGU